AUAAUUUUAAUAGGGUUAUUUGUCUCUCUGAAGUCUAAAUUUUGAGUUCUUUGUAUGUAUUGGUUAUGGCCUUCUAUCAGAUGGAGGAUUGGUAUAGACCUUUCCAAAUCUGUUCCUUGCGGUUUUGUCCUAAAAGUGUCCUUUGGCAGGCAGUUUUCUACUACAGUGAAGAACUGUCAGUUAGUAAACUAAAACAAGGACUGGCUCCUUACUGACUUCCCUACGUGUUCUGAACAGUAGAUGGGGAAACUAAACAACCAUGUUAUACCCCUACAAGGCAUGCCUAUCUAUAGUCGUGGAUCUAGAGAGACCUAGCAGAGAUUCUGGGCAUCUGUCAAAGAAAUGUAGGCUGGUGAAGUUUGCAGUUUUCAUCCUGGUUUCUGUAUCGACAGGGUAUGGUGUUGUGAAGACAAGAUACCACAUGUGCAGCUGUGAAUAAGUCUGAGAAGGCUGACUUCUUGGAUUUCUGAAGCAUUAUUAAGUGAUCCAGAGGAAAUCAGCACGCCCUGCUCAGCAGAGCUCUGGGAAUGCUGACACUCUUGCUUCAUGUUUAUAUUAACCUAGGUCAAAAGAUCACCUGUCAGGGUCUCCGGGUAAGGCAUCAUCCCAACCUUCCAGCAUCAGUGAGCAAGUGCAACAGAUUAAGAAGUUGGAGAAAUUGACUAAGGAGCUCCAGAAGAUGACAUAUACCCUACAAUAAAGAAGAUACCAUCACAGCUUCCCAUCCUCCCCAGCACUGAAGAAAGAAAAGUUUUACUUUGUCAUGGUUAUGGACAUAUUCUUGUUUACUGGGCUCAGAGCUUCAGAUCUGACGGAGGGAGACUAUGGAAAUGGAAUCUCCUUUGGAGGAAUCUGCUUACCUUGUAGGAAUGGGGAAACAGAGAGCAAAAGUAAGAUGUUGUUCCACGACUUCAUCCCUUGCUAAGAAAAAAGUGUCCUUUUCACAGCUUGGGAACUGGGUAAGCAGUCUAAGCAAGCAUGGCUAACAAGCCAAACCAGAUGGGUAAACAUUUGUCCAUUGGAUACGAAGGGGGAGCAUUUAAUUGACUAUGCUGACUGUAUCUCCUGUCCACUGUGUUCUAAUCCCAUGCAAGGAAAGUUCGGUGGAUUUUGUCUGUCCUGUGUCAGAACAAUAGUGUUUUCCAUUCUGAA